CUCCCAGCCCCGCCCGCCCCGGCGGGUGAGCAGACAAGCCUCUCGAGCUGUUCGCAGUCUGGGCAGCAGGAACGAGAAUGCUCUGUUCCCCACGUCAUCAUUAGAAGGGGAUAUUUACUACUUCUCCUCUUGUUUGCCGACCUGUCAUAAUCACCACAUUCUAAGGACUCUAAAACGUGUCCAAACAAAAAAGAAUAAAAGCAAGUAUUUGACAUCUACAGCAUGAGAGAAGAGGCUUUGUAACAAACUGAAAACAUUUCCUGCUGGUAAAGAUGGGACAAUAAGAACAAAACUACUUUACCAAAAACUGGUUCUCAUAUUUUGACUUGACAGUUAAGGAAUGCUGAAUUAAGUAACAACAAAUCACCUGAAAAUGUGAGUGAAGCAAUGACAGAAAAUUAUCUCAUAAUAAAUUUUCUAAAUUUAUUAAGAGACGUCAUUAUUUUAAUAUAAUCUCUGGUGCAAAUUUUAAAGUGAUUGAUUUAACAGCCUGUACUCUAAAGUAUACACAAAUGUGGAUUUGUCCUGGAAGUAUAAAACACUCUGGCUUAUUUAUUAGGCUGGCCUAA